rnacentral:rRNA from 1 species
UACGUAGGGGGCGAGCGUUGUCCGGAAUUACUGGGCGUAAAGCGCAUGUAGGCGGGCGACUAAGUCAGGGGUGAAAACCGUGGGCUCAACCUACGGCUUGCCCUUGAUACUGGUCGUCUUGAGUACAGGAGAGGGAAGCGGAAUUCCCGGUGUAGCGGUGAAAUGCGUAGAGAUUUGGAGGAACACCAGUGGCGAAGGCGACUGUCUGGUCUGUAACUGACACUGAGGCGCGAAAGCGUGGGGAGCAAACAGG